rnacentral:rRNA from 1 species
UGCGUAGGUGGUUGGUUAAGUUUGAGGUGAAAGCUCCGAGCUCAACUCGGAAAAUGCCUUGAAGACUAUCUGACUAGAGGAUUGGAGGGGAGAUUGGAAUUCUCGGUGUAGCAGUGAAAUGCGUAGAUAUCGAGAGGGACACCAGUGGCGAAGGCGAAUCUCUGGACAAUUCCUGACACUGAGGCACGAAAGCCAAGGGAGCAAACG